UGUGUCAGUGUGUCAGUGUGUCAAUGUGUGUCAGUGUGUGUCAGUGUGUCAGUGUGUUUCAGUGUGUAUCAGUGUGUGUCAGUGUGUCAGUGUGUUUCAUUGUGUUUCAGUGUGUCAGUGUGUGUCUCUCACGCUGCUCUUCACAUCCUUUAGCUUGGGCAGUAUAUCGAGUGAGAAUCCGUCAGCUUGGCCCCUGGUUCGAUUCCCUCCAUUCAUAUAGUUCCCAAAGGCCAGAACCAGACCCAGAAUCUGCUUCACCGUCUCACUGUCCUGCAGUGCCUACACACACACACACACACACACACACACACACACACACACACACACACACACACACACACA